CACGUAGGCGGAUUGGCAAGUCAGAUGUGAAAGCCCGGGGCUUAACCCCGGAAUUGCAUUUGAUACUGUCUGUCUUGAGUAUGGUAGAGGGGGAUGGAAUUCCCGGUGUAGAGGUGAAAUUCGUAGAUAUCGGGAGGAACACCAGAGGCGAAGGCGACUCCCCUGGGCCAUUACUGACGCUGAGGUGCGAAAGCGUGGGGAGCAAACA
rnacentral:rRNA from 1 species